rnacentral:rRNA from 1 species
GAAUGUCUUGUAAUUGGAAUGAUGGUGACCCAAACCCUCACCAGAGUAGCAAUUGGAGGGCAAGUCUGGUGCCAGCAGCCGCGGUAAUUCCAGCUCCAAUAGCGUAUAUUAAACUUGUUGCAGUUAAAAAGCUCGUAGUUGUAUUUUUGCGUUGACGGUUUGACCAUUUGGUUGGUUAUUUCGUUUUCGCUUUUGGGAAUUUCCCUUUUUACUUUGAGAAAAUUAGAGUGUUUCAAGCAGACUUUUGUCUUGAAUACUUCAGCAUGGAAUAAUAGAGUAGGACUUUGGUUCUAUUUUGUUGGUUAUUGAACCUUAGUAAUGGUUAAUAGGAACGGUUGGGGGCAUUCGUAUUUA